rnacentral:rRNA from 1 species
GAGUUUGAUUCUGGCUCAGGAUGAACGCUGGCGGCGUGCCUAAUACAUGCAAGUUGAACGGACUUGGAGGGUGCUUGCACCUAACAAGUUAGUAGCGAACGGGUGAGUAAUACAUAAGCAACCUACCUAUUAGCCUGGGAUAACUAUGGGAAACGAUAGCUAAUACCGGAUAGGUAACUUGAAGGCAUCUUUAAGUUAUUAAAGGUUAGAGACACUAAUAGAUGGGCUUAUGGCGUAUUAGUUAGUUGGUGAGGUAACGGCUCACCAAGACGAUGAUACGUAGCCGGCCUGAGAGGGUGAACGGCCACAUUGGGACUGAGACACGGCCCAGACUCCUACGGGAGGCAGCAGUAGGGAAUUUUCGGCAAUGGGCGCAAGCCUGACCGAGCAACGCCGCGUGAGUGAAGAAGGCCUUCGGGUUGUAAAGCUCUGUUAUAAAUUAAGAAUGGCUAUAAGGGAC